rnacentral:miRNA from 1 species
UAGGUAGUCGCUCUUGGGUAACU